rnacentral:tmRNA from 1 species
GGGGUUGUAAUGGCUUCGACAUGCACAGGAUAAUAUCUAUAGCAGUAGUGUUGCAGACUAUAAUUGCUUCUAGGUUUAACAAACGGAAAAUCUGAAAAACAAGAAAGUGAAUUUUCAUUUUCACACCCAGCUUUUGCUGGACAAUCAAACCUUGUAUUUGCUUAAUUAAAUACUAGUCGCACUCUUAAACGCCUUUAUAAGAUGUGUGGGUUAAAGGCACUUAUUUAGGGAUUCUAAUUAACUAAAAUAAGUCAUAUUUAGAGCAUGUAUUUAUUUUUUGAUUGUUUAUAUAAAUCCAUGAAAUUAAAAAUAAUCUAAACUGUAGAAUUAGGUAGGACUUUUGUGUGUGGACCCGGGUUCGACUCCCGGCAGCUCCACCA